CAAAGGAGGACGGGGAAGCAGAGGAUAGACUCAUCCAUUCCUAGUGCAGUACACCACACAGUGGACGUAGGGUAUUACGCUCCGGCGGCCCGAACCACUCCAAAUCCGUGUGUUCUUGCGUUCUUGCCCCGAAGCUAGAUCGGCCUAAUAGCUUAGCACCUCCCCGAGUACUCCCCCUCUGGGAUUAGGCGGGUGCGUUCCGCCACCCGGCUGUGGGUACCCUAAAAAGCCCACGACAGUACUGAUUAUUUCAAUUACUUCAGUGAGGUGAGAACUAAAUUAUACAAACUGUUUUAAUAAAUAUGAAACCAAUUUUGGUGUAUAUAGGUUGCAAAGGCACUCUCAAGCAGCAGGAUCUACUGGUAAGAAAAAAAACAGCAUAGGAUAAGAUAUUUGAGGCUCCUGUUUCUAAUUCUUCAACUCCCCCUGCAUCUACAUCUGCUCCUACUAUAGCAGUUGUUUUUGAGUUGUCUUCUUACUUGGACAGUGACAUUAUUACCUGUUUUGAUGAUUACUUUUUAACAUUCUAAGUUGGUGGCAUGAGCACAAACUUACAUCUCAUUUUGUCCAUACUUUCUAAAGAUAUAGUCUCUACUAUUUCUUCGGAGUCUUGUCCAACUAGUAGGGUGAUCGAGGAGCGGCGCCGACGGUUGCUGCCUAAUACGGUGGAGAUGUUGACAUGUGUCAAAGACGGGGAGUUGGAAAAUGCAAGGACACAACAUGAGGUUCAGAAGGGGGUGCAAUAGAAUAUAUACCAACAUAAAUUCUAGUCAUAUAAUACAUAAUUUUAUUUUAUGUUCACCUACUGAAUUCUAGAAUACUUCCAAUGCUCCUAAAUAGAUUAAAGCAGAGAUAAAAGAGAUGAGAGGAUUGGUUUUAAAUCCAGAUGAUUACCAAAGAUGUACACAUAUCUGUGUGAAACCAGCUUUGCAAAUCGAAGGAAAGAAAUUUGUGAUAGAAAGUUGGAUUAAUAAAUAUUGUGCAGAAAAUGCAAUUAUUUAUGAUAAGUCUGAUUUAGAAAAAACCACAGCUAUGGUUGUGCCCAACAGCACGCCACCAAGAUCAGUUGUAAGAUGCCUAUAUUUUGAUGAGGAGAUUGAUGAAGAAAAAGUCAGAUGUUCUUUCCAUGACUUGUUCUACUAUGAGAAAGAUCUAUCUUCCAAUAUCAUGAGUUUAGCUGAAAAUAGUGUGGAGAUGAAAGACAAAGCUGUAAUACAAGUUAUGUUGAGAACCGAGAUGGGGACCUACACCUAAGACUCACCAAGAGUCGGUUAUCUUUUUCAAUUUUAGCUACUUAGUGUAUAAGGUCCUCUCGACGGGCAGAGCCGCUUUCUCGCUUCCGGGUGGCAGAGCCUAUCAACUAUGAAAGCUAGCUUUCGAGAGGCAGAGCCUUUCUACGAUGAAACUCAGACCCUUUGUGACCCCCGGGUGGGAGAGUCAGCCUAUAAUACACAACUUAUAAAGUAAGUACUUAGAAACUAAGAGACUAACACUUACAAAACAUUUAUUACAACACAAUAGUAUUACACAAGAGUAUACAAUACACCAUCUUUUUGUGGCUAUCCUAGCACUCAUCCUUCUCAUCUACUAUAUUCUUGGAUAGAUGGCAUGGCAAGGAGGGGGUUCUCUAUUUAUAGGCCAAGGCGGAUCAUAGAGAAUACUCUAGAAGGUUGUUUUGCAUUCUUUCAACAAGCUGUGAAGGUUGCUUUGCAUUCUUCCAACAAGCUGUGUGUCCGGUCCAGUCACAAGUGCAUAUAUUUCACCAAAAAUGCAAUGGAAGUGAAGCUAUUGGUAAGAGAUAUCUACAUGAUCUUGAAGGAACUUCAUAAAUGUGGUUAUUCACUAGGAGGAAAGUUUACGGCCAUAAACUUUCUGUUAAUUGAUGGUCUCUAUGGUAGAAAGGUAGUCAUUGGAAAACUUGAAGAAGGAUCUCUAUGGUGAGAAGGUAGUCAUUGCAAAGUUUACAGCCAGAAACUUU